CGGGAGGCAGCAGUGAGGAAUAUUGCCCAAUGGGGGAAACCCUGAGGCAGCAACGCCGCGUGGAUGAUGACGGCCUUCGGGUUGUAAAAUCCUUUUCUGGGGGACGAUGAUGACGGUACCCAGGAACAAGUUCCGGCUAACUACGUGCCAGCAGCCGCGGUAAAACGUAGGGGACAAGCGUUAUCCGGAUUUACUGGGCGUAAAGCGCGCGCAGGUGGUCGGGCCAGUUGGCCGUGAAAGCUCCUGGCUUAACUGGGAGAGGUCGGUACAAAACUACCCGGCUAGAGGAUGGAACAGGAGCGUAGAAUUCCCGGUGUAGUGGUGGAAUGCGUAGAUAUCGGGAGGAAUACCGGUGGCGAAGGCGAUGCUCUGGUCCAGCCCUGACACUGAGGCGCGAAAGCGUGGGGAGCAAACGGGAUUAGAUACCCCGGUAGUCCACGCUGUAAACGAUGGAUACUAGGUGUAGGCGGUCAUUUACCCCGUCUGUGCCGUAGCCAACGCGUUAAGUAUCCCGCCUGGGGAGUACGGCCGCAAGGUUA
rnacentral:rRNA from 1 species